GCGACAUACGUGCUAGGAGCCUGUGGAAGAGGGAGGGGGCAAGCGUUAUCCGGAAUCUAUGGGCGUAAAUCGUGCGUAGGUGGCGCGUUAAGUGAGAUGUUAAAUCGUGUGGCUCAACCAUAUCGAUGCGUCUCAUACUGGCGUGCUAGAGGACAGCAGAGGCAAGUGGAAUUGGUAGUGUAGCAGUGAAAUGCGUAGAUAUUACCAGGAACACCAAUGGCGAAGGCAGCUUGCUGGGCUACUCCUGACACUGAGGUACGAAAGCGUGGGGAGCGAACAGGAUUAGAUACCCGAGUAGUC
rnacentral:rRNA from 1 species